UACAGAGGGUGCAAGCGUUGUUCGGAAUUAUUGGGCGUAAAGCGCGUGUAGGCGGUUUAGUAAGUCAAACGUGAAAGCCCUCGGCUUAACCGAGGAAGUGCGUCUGAUACUGCUUUACUUGAGUGUCGGAGGGGAUGGUAGAAUUCCCGGUGUAGAGGUGAAAUUCGUAGAUAUCGGGAGGAAUACCUGUGGCGAAGGCGGCGAUCUGGGCAGAUAUUGACGCUGAUGUGCGAAAGCGUGGGGAGCAAACAGG
rnacentral:rRNA from 1 species